rnacentral:rRNA from 1 species
UACGUAGGGUGCGAGCGUUAAUCGGAAUUACUGGGCGUAAAGCGUGCGCAGGCGGCUUUGUAAGCCAGAUGUGAAAUCCCCGGGCUCAACCUGGGAACUGCAUUUGGGACUGCAAGGCUAGAGUACGGCAGAGGGGGGUAGAAUUCCUGGUGUAGCAGUGAAAUGCGUAGAUAUCAGGAGGAAUACCGAUGGCGAAGGCAGCCCCCUGGGUCGAUACUGACGCUCAUGCACGAAAGCGUGGGGAGCAAACAGG